AAUGUUUAAAAUAAUAAUACUGUUCACUAUUGAUCGUCACGAUUUCAUACAUCGUUACAGAUAUUAUUACGCGGAUAUUAAAACUACCAUGACAACAUAACAAUAUGUGGCCGAGGCGAUGAUUCGUUUCACAUUUAUUUUUAAAUUUGUUCACAUGACGUAAAAUCUGUAUUAUGUGAACGUUUUGUAAUGUGCAUCGUAAAUUCAUAAAUGCAAUUAAGCUCGAUUACUCGAAAAUCUACGAGCAAGGCGAUUGAGAAAUCAAACUUCGAUUCCAAUUAUUUGAUUGGCGGCUAUAUUUGUUCAUUUGUGUUAUUAUUGGUCUGAUACACUGCAUAUUUCGCAAUGACAAAAUGCUUUAAACGUCAAUAAAUACUUAAUACUGUGUGUUUUUAUUAUUAUUUCAACGUUACACAGAUUUUAAAGAAAGAAAACCUACUGUUGACGGCGGCGUGCGUAUGUAUUUCACAACCGUUGGUUAAAGGUCGUUGGUG